rnacentral:miRNA from 17 species
AGUUUUGCAUGGUUGCACCAC